ACCAGAGGCAGCAGGAGCAAGACCACAGAAACAACCACCCUUGCUUCUAGAACAGUUUGGGUGCGGCCGGCUGAAGGCAUGGGAUAUGGGGGGAAGGGGCACAGUCUGUAAAGGUCCCAGGACUCUCACCUGGGCUUCCUCCUCCUGCUGCUUCAAGCUCCCCUCCACCACCCCACACAGAAUAGCCUGUGGCUCUCCGGGGGCCUCAAGGCUCAGAAAAGUCAGCAUCGUGCUAACGCACAAGGAACCAAACUUGUUAGAAAUCCAAAUUAUGUUGUAAAGCAGGUCUUUACAGCGCUCAUGGGGUGCGGGGAGCAUGGAAACUGGAAGGGCCUCUCUCAACGCACUUUGAUCAAGGUCUGGGAAGUUCUCGAGUAUCUUGGUGACUGUACGUGGGAAGGAUUUCUCUCUGUGUUCCCAGCCACAAGGGGCUGAUGACUCACCCGAUCUUGGCCAGUCAAGUGGAAGGUAGUGUUACAAUUUUGCCUGUGACGUCUGUGGGGCUAAGGAAUCUGUUCAAGUCCCUUCUACCCAGGUGAGCUUUCAGGAGUCAGUUUCCAAAGCACUGCCAGCAGGGCUGGCUUUCCAGAAAAUACCACCGUGGGGAGGCUGGGGGUGUUCUCAGAGGCGACAGGCAAAGCAGAGGAGGCCAGUUUCUCUAAUGAGCCCCCCUCAUGGCCUCACCACAGUCGGGUUUCCAGAGCAGAAGAACUUCAGCCACAACCAGAAGGAUCCCGCAACCUCAAAUUAGGAAAACCCAAACCAACACCAGGCCUGAAUUUUUGCAUCACCUACCCAAAAGAAGCUGAACAGACUCUUUAGAAAUCCUUCCCAAUCAAAAUCCACCCAGUGACCUGGAGUUAUGAUGAAGAUAUGACUGCCCAUGGAAGGACUGGGUGCUCUGAGAUACAAAGAGGAAAUGGAGACCCAGGCCCUGGCCUGAGUGCUUCAGCUCCAUCUUCUCUGACCUUCAGGAUACCACAGCAAAGUAGAGUCACUGUGCACAUGAGGAAACAAGACCAGAGAGGCCAAGCAUCUGGCCCAGGAUCACACAGCCACUAAAUGGCUAAGCUAGGAUUUGAACCUAAGAAUCCUUGGUUCAUAACUCCCAGUCCACGAGGCUGACACAUUAUUAGUUCAAGGGACAUGUGAGAACUUGGGCCCUCAGAAAGUUUCCCCAAAGCCUGAGACCACAAAGCCCAAAACCAGUGCAGCACAGAGGCAGCUACAGACAGAAGAGUUUCCAGCACAGAGGUGAAGUCUCCCAAACUAGGGUCCAGAAGAGAGUUCUUGAUUCCCCUCUACCUACACCCAAACCAUGUUUCUCCACCGGUCUCCCUUUCUCAGUAAAUGCUACCAUCAUUCAGCCAUCCAGCCACUUAGGCCAGAAACCUAGGUGUCAUCCCUGAUUCCAUCCUCCUCCUGGCCUCUGUGGUAAGCAGCCUCCCAGAAGGCCCCGGGAUUUUUGCCUUCUGGUCUUCAUAGCCUCCAUGGUCCCCUCCCACAUUGAACCCAUGUGACCAACAGGAUGUGAUAGAAGAAAUGGAGUAUGACUCUGAGGCUAGGUCACGAAAGUUGUUGUGCCUUCUGCCCUGCUUUCGCUUGGAGCAUUCGCUUGAAGGGCACUCAUGCAGAUCUGUGAAGAGGCUCAGGUAGGAAGGAGCUGAGACCUCCUGCAAACCACCGGCAUUAACUUACCAACCAUGUGAACGAGCCCCCUUGGAAGUGGAGCCUCCAGCCCCCAGUCAAGCCUUUGGAUGAUGGCAGCCUCAGCCAACCUCUUGACUGCAAUCUCAUGAAAGACCCUGAGUCAGAACCACCCAGCUAAGUUGCUCCUGAAUUCCUGACCCAUAAAAACCAGGAGACACCAGACAUCUGCUGUCAUUCUAAGCUGCUAAGUGUGGGGUAAUUUGUUACACAGCAACAGCUAACGAACAUGGCCUCCCACCUGCAACCAUCUGUCAAGUCCUAUGGAUUCUACUCCUAAAUGACAUAUUGACUCGGCCAUCUCCCUUCUCUUUCAUGGCCACUGCGCUGGGCCAAGCCACCAUCACAUCACAUCUCACAGGAUGAUGGCAGCAGCCUCCUGACUGGCCUCCUUGCCUCCAUCUGCUUCCUGCCAAAGCCCAACCCACUGUCCAUUACAGCCCGUGGCAUUCUACAAGUGCAAACUAUUGCCAGUCCCUCCAAUGGCUCCCCAUGGCCUAUGGGAUGAAAUCUGAACUCUUUGCCAUGAGCGACAAGGCCCUACAGGCUGAUGCCCACAUGCCUCCCUCCCUGGCCUCAUCUCCGGGUUCACUCUGCUCCAGCUGCACUGGGCUGCCUUUUGUUCCCCAUAUACACCAGCUCUUCCUACUCUGAGUCUAUGUCUUGGCUGUUUCUUCUGCCUGAAACACUCUUCCCAUGACUCUAUCUUUGGUUUCCAGCUGAGAAGUCACCUCCUCAGAGAGGCCUUCACUGAUCACUCUGUCUACUGGGUACCCUCAUGAUUCUCCAUUGUCACAGCUCAUAGAUUCCUUUUAUAAACUAUAAUGACCUGAAAUUGUUUUAUUCAUUUAUCUAUUAAUUCUGCUUCUUACCAUCCACUCCUUUCUAACCUUUAGGUUACCUUUAGGUUAUUUUUUGGAAGUUGGCACCAUGACUGUACCCAGUGGUGGGCACCAAGCAAGUAUGCAAUAAAAUGUUGU